rnacentral:rRNA from 1 species
AGAGUUUGAUCCUGGCUCAGAGUGAACGCUGGCGGCGUGCUUAACACAUGCAAGUCGAACGGAACCUUCGGGUUUAGUGGCGCACGGGUGAGUAAUGUAUAGGUAUGUGCCCCAUAGACUAGGAUAGCCACUGGAAACGGUGAUUAAUACUGGAUACUCCUUACGAGGGAAAGAUUUAUCGCUAUGGGAUCGGCCUAUAUUGUAUCAGCUAGUUGGUGAGGUAAAGGCUCACCAAGGCAAUGACACAUAACUGGUCUGAGAGGAUGAUCAGUCACACUGGAACUGAGACACGGUCCAGACUCCUACGGGAGGCAGCAGUGGGGAAUAUUACACAAUGGAGGAAACUCUGAUGUAGCAACGCCGCGUGGAGGAUGACACAUUUCGGUGCGUAAACUCCUUUUAUUAGGGAAGAUAAUGACGGUACCUAAUGAAUAAGCACCGGCUAACUCCGUGCCAGCAGCCGCGGUAAUACGGAGGGUGCAAGCGUUACUCGGAAUCACUGGGCGUAAAGCGCGCGCAGGCGGGUUUGUAAGUUGGAAGUGAAAUCCACUGGCUUAACCAGUGAACUGCUUCCAAAACUACUUACCUAGAGUCUGGGAGGGGAAGAUGGAAUUAGUUGUGUAGGGGUAAAAUCCGUAGAGAUAACUAGGAAUAUCAAAAGCGAAGGCGAUCUUCUGGAACAGUACUGACGCUGAGGCGCGAAAGCGUGGGGAGCAAACAGGAUUAGAUACCCUGGUAGUCCACGCCCUAAACGAUGAAUGUUAGUCGUCGGUAUGCUCGUCAUAUCGGUGAUGCACUUAACAGAUUAAACAUUCCGCCUGGGGAGUACGGUCGCAAGAUUAAAACUCAAAGGAAUAGACGGGGACCCGCACAAGUGGUGGAGCAUGUGGUUUAAUUCGAAGAUACGCGAAGAACCUUACCUAGCCUUGACAUUGAUAGAAUCCGCUAGAGAUAGUGGAGUGCCAGUUUACUGGAGCUUGAAAACAGGUGCUGCACGGCUGUCGUCAGCUCGUGUCGUGAGAUGUUGGGUUAAGUCCCGCAACGAGCGCAACCCUCGUGACUAGUUACUAACGGUUCGGCCGAGGACUCUAGUCAGACUGCCUUCGCAAGGAGGAGGAAGGUGAGGACGACGUCAAGUCAUCAUGGCCCUUACGGCUAGGGCGACACACGUGCUACAAUGGGCAGGACAAUGAGACGCAAUACCGCGAGGUGGAGCAAAUCUAUAAACCUGCUCUCAGUUCGGAUUGUAGUCUGCAACUCGACUACACGAAGCUGGAAUCACUAGUAAUCGUAGGUCAGCCAUGCUACGGUGAAUACGUUCCCGGGUCUUGUACUCACCGCCCGUCACACCAUGGGAGUUGAUUUCACCCGAAGCGGGGAAGCUAAACUGGCUACCCUCCACGGUGGAAUCAGCGACUGGGGUGAAGUCGUAACAAGGUAACCAAGGGCGAA